GACGAACGCUGGCGGCGUGCCUAAUACAUGCAAGUCGAACGGUCUUUUCUAUGGAAGCUUGCUUCCGCUGAGAAGAUAGUGGCGAACGGGUGAGUAACACGUGGGUAACCUGCCCAUAAGAGGGGGAUAACAUCCGGAAACGGGUGCUAAUACCGCAUAGUUUUCUUGAUCGCAUGAUUGAGAAAGGAAAGACGGCCUUUGUGCUGUCGCUUAUGGACGGACCCGCGGCGUAUUAGUUAGUUGGUGGGGUAACGGCUCACCAAGACGAUGAUACGUAGCCGACCUGAGAGGGUGAUCGGCCACAUUGGGACUGAGACACGGCCCAAACUCCUACGGGAGGCAGCAGUAGGGAAUCUUCCGCAAUGGACGAAAGUCUGACGGAGCAACGCCGCGUGAGUGAAGAAGGUUUUCGGAUCGUAAAACUCUGUUGUCAGAGAAGAACAAGUCGGAGAGUAACUGCUCCGGCCUUGACGGUAUCUGACCAGAAAGCCACGGCUAACUACGUGCCAGCCGCCGCAGUAAAAC
rnacentral:rRNA from 1 species